AGUGGCGAACGGGUGAGUAACGCGUAGACAACCUGCCUUCCAGAUGGGGACAACACCGCGAAAGUGGUGCUAAUACCGAAUGUACUCUAAAUGCCGCAUGGCAUUUAGAACAAAGGUGGCCUCUGUAUAUGCUACCGCUGGAAGAGGGGUCUGCGUCUGAUUAGCUAGUUGGCGGGGUAACGGCCCACCAAGGCGACGAUCAGUAGCCGGUCUGAGAGGAUGAACGGCCACACUGGGACUGAGACACGGCCCAGACUCCUACGGGAGGCAGCAGUGGGGAAUCUUCCGCAAUGGACGAAAGUCUGACGGAGCAACGCCGCGUGAGUGAAGAAGGUUUUCGGAUCGUAAAGCUCUGUCUUAAAGGACGAAUGUAUUCUUUAUGAAUAAUGAGGAGUAAUGACGGUACUUUAGGAGGAAGCCACGGCUAACUACGUGCCAGCAGCCGCGGUAAUAC
rnacentral:rRNA from 1 species